rnacentral:tRNA from 1 species
CCCUUGGUGGUGUAGUUGGUUAUCGCGUCAGACUGUAAUUGUAAGAUUUGUAAUCUGAAUGUCACCGGUUCGAUUCCGGUCCGAGGGA